rnacentral:tRNA from 1 species
GGGCUUGUAGCUCAGUUGGGAGAGCGCUUGAAUGGCAUUCAAGAGGUCAGGGGUUCGAUUCCCCUCAGGUCCA